rnacentral:rRNA from 1 species
UACGUAGGGCGCAAGCGUUAUCCGGAAUUAUUGGGCGUAAAGAGCUCGUAGGCGGUUUGUCGCGUCUGCCGUGAAAGUCCGGGGCUCAACUCCGGAUCUGCGGUGGGUACGGGCAGACUAGAGUGAUGUAGGGGAGACUGGAAUUCCUGGUGUAGCGGUGGAAUGCGCAGAUAUCAGGAGGAACACCGGUGGCGAAGGCGGGUCUCUGGGCAGUAACUGACGCUGGAGGAGCGAAAGCGUGGGGAGCAACAGG